rnacentral:rRNA from 1 species
AUUAACCUAUAUUUUUUGGCGGCCUUUUUUCUUUUCAGAGGAGAUUUGUCUAUUUAUCGCCAUUACUCGUUUAUUUUAACUUUUUUUUAUUUUCUAUACCGCCGUCUCAAGAUAAAACCCUAAAUUUUUAUCCUAAGCUUUUUUGAUAAGUCAGGUCAAGGUGGAGAUUAUAAGAAAGUUUAGAUUAAUUAUUCAUAAAUGUUAUUUAAAGCUAGUCUUCCAAAGAUAACUAAAAUAAAGAUUUGAAAGUAGUCUUUAAUUAAAAGUUAAGAACGAACUUGUUACAGGUGUACAUAUCGCCCGUCACCCUCGUCUAAAGAUGAGGUAAGUCGUAACAUAGUUAGUGUACUGGAAAGUGC